rnacentral:rRNA from 1 species
CCAGACUCCUACGGGAGGCAGCAGUGAGGAAUAUUGGUCAAUGGGCGAGAGCCUGAACCAGCCAAGUCGCGUGAGGGAGUACUGCCCUAUGGGUUGUAAACCUCUUUUGUCGGGGAGCAAAAGCCGGACGUGUCCGGCUGUGAGAGUACCCGAAGAAAAAGCAUCGGCUAACUCCGUGCCAGCAGCCGCGGUAAUACGUAGGGGGCAAGCGUUAUCCGGAUUUACUGGGUGUAAAGGGAGCGUAGACGGCAUGGCAAGUCAGAUGUGAAAGCCCGGGGCUCAACCCCGGGACUGCAUUUGAAACUGUCAGGCUGGAGUGCAGGAGAGGUAAGUGGAAUUCCUAGUGUAGCGGUGAAAUGCGUAGAUAUUAGGAGGAACACCAGUGGCGAAGGCGGCCUGCUGGACGGUGACUGACGCUGAGGCUCGAAAGCGUGGGGAGCAAACAGGAUUAGAUACCCCAGUAAG